CCGCUUCAGCACUCUCCUCUAAGGCCCCAUUUGGAUACCUCUGAAAACAUAGUAUAGUUAAACUAUCCUACUACACUGAUAGGAAAAUAAUCCUGUAAAGCGUUUGGGAGAAAAAAAAAAAAUAACGUAAUUUUUGGAGUAUAGUUAAACUAUACUCCAAAAAAUAAAGUAAAAUUAUAAUUCACUCUAAUUAAAGGAAAAGAAUUCCAUCAUUUUUGGACUCGCUUAUCCCAAAGAUAUACAUAUGCAUCCAAACAAGCCCUAAAUACACAUAUCUUCCUUAGAUUUGACCAUUACAAUUAGAUGUCAACAUAUAUCAUAUCACUUGGAAGACCAAUAACACAAAAAAAAAAUUCUAAAAAUACUCAACAUACUUAUAAUUUUUUAGCUGCCAGAUCACCUCAAGAUCCGUGAGGUAAUAGUGCAAAAAAAAUUAAUAAGACACGUCGUAAAUAGUGCCUGUACGAAUUUUGAAACGAUUCGACAGCUAAAAGUCACAGGUAUAAAUAUUUUUCUACUUUUAAAAACACAAAAACUCAAACUCCUAAAAAUAUAUUAAACAUUUUUUUUUUAUCUAUCCUAUCCAAAGAAAGCAUAAAGAACACUACAAACCAAUAAAA
rnacentral:lncRNA from 1 species